UGUGAGCUCGAUGAGUAGGGCGGGACACGUGGUAUCCUGUCUGAAUAUGGGGGGACCAUCCUCCAAGGCUAAAUACUCCUGACUGACCGAUAGUGAACCAGUACCGUGAGGGAAAGGCGAAAAGAACCCCGGCGAGGGGAGUGAAAAAGAACCUGAAACCGUGUACGUACAAGCAGUGGGAGCACAGAGCAAUCUGUGUGACUGCGUACCUUUUGUAUAAUGGGUCAGCGACUUAUAUUCUGUAGCAAGGUUAACCGAAUAGGGGAGCCGAAGGGAAACCGAGUCUUAACUGGGCGUUAAGUUGCAGGGUAUAGACCCGAAACCCGGUGAUCUAGCCAUGGGCAGGUUGAAGGUUGGGUAACACUAACUGGAGGACCGAACCGACUAAUGUUGAAAAAUUAGCGGAUGACUUGUGGCUGGGGGUGAAAGGCCAAUCAAACCGGGAGAUAGCUGGUUCUCCCCGAAAGCUAUUUAGGUAGCGCCUCGUGAAUUCAUCUCCGGGGGUAGAGCACUGUUUCGGCAAGGGGGUCAUCCCGACUUACCAACCCGAUGCAAACUGCGAAUACCGGAGAAUGUUAUCACGGGAGACACACGGCGGGUGCUAACGUCCGUCGUGAAGAGGGAAACAACCCAGACCGCCAGCUAAGGUCCCAAAGUCAUGGUUAAGUGGGAAACGAUGUGGGAAGGCCCAGACAGCCAGGAUGUUGGCUUAGAAGCAGCCAUCAUUUAAAGAAAGCGUAAUAGCUCACUGGUCGAGUCGGCCUGCGCGGAAGAUGUAACGGGGCUAAACCAUGCACCGAAGCUGCGGCAGCGACACUGUGUGUUGUUGGGUAGGGGAGCGUUCUGUAAGCCUGUGAAGGUGUGCUGUGAGGCAUGCUGGAGGUAUCAGAA
rnacentral:rRNA from 1 species